GUCUCCGUAGCUUAGUCGGUAGAACACCCGACUAUGGUGCCACAGGAUUAGGGUUCGAGCCCCGCUGAAGGCA